GAUGAAGAACGCAGCGAAAUGCGAUAAGUAAUGUGAAUUGCAGAAUUCAGUGAAUCAUCGAAUCUUUGAACGCACAUUGCGCCCUCUGGUAUUCCGGGGGGCAUGCCUGUUCGAGCGUCAUUAUAACCACUCAAGCUCUCGCUUGGUAUUGGGGUUCGCGGUUCCGCGGCCCCUAAAAUCAGUGGCGGUGCCUGUCGGCUCUACGCGUAGUAAUACUCCUCGCGAUUGAGUCCGGUAGGUCUACUUGCCAGCAACCCCAAUUUUUACAGGUUGACCUCGGAUCAGGUAGGGAUACCCGCUGAACUUAAGCAUAUCAAUAAGCGGAGGA
rnacentral:misc_RNA from 1 species